rnacentral:rRNA from 1 species
GACGAACGCUGGCGGCGUGCUUAACACAUGCAAGUCGAACGGAAAGGCCCUGCUUGCAGGGUACGCGAGUGGGGAACGGGUGAGUAACACGCGGGAGAUCUGCCCUGCACUUCGUGAGAAGCCUGGGAAACUGGGGGGAAUACCGGAGAGAAGCGAUCCUGAGUGUGAGGGGGGGAAAGUUUUUUGCGGGUAGGAAGGGCGGGCGGCCUAUCAACUUGUUGGUGGGGUAAGUGCCUAACUAGGCGGCGGCGGGUGGCCCGCCUGGGGGGGUGGACGGCCCCCUUGGGACUUAGGUACGGCCCAGGCUCCCACGGGGAGGAGCAGGGGGGAAUAUUGGCCAAUGGGCGCAAGCCUGAUUCCGCGACGCCGCGUGGGGGAAGACGGGCUUCGGGUUGGAAACUCCUUUCGCUAGGGGCGAAGCUUUUUGUGACGGUACCUAGAUAAGAAGCACCGGCUAACUACGUG